rnacentral:rRNA from 1 species
UGGGGAAUAUUGGACAAUGGGCGAAAGCCUGAUCCAGCCAUGCCGCGUGUAUGAAGAAGGCCUUCGGGUUGUAAAGUACUUUCAGCGGGGAGGAAGGCGAUAAGGUUAAUAACCUUGUCGAUUGACGUUACCCGCAGAAGAAGCACCGGCUAACUCCGUGCCAGCAGCCGCGGUAAUACGGAGGGUGCAAGCGUUAAUCGGAAUUACUGGGCGUAAAGCGCACGCAGGCGGUUUGUCAAGUCGGAUGUGAAAUCCCCGGGCUCAACCUGGGAACUGCAUUCGAAACUGGCAGGCUAGAGUCUUGUAGAGGGGGGUAGAAUUCCAGGUGUAGCGGUGAAAUGCGUAGAGAUCUGGAGGAAUACCGGUGGCGAAGGCGGCCCCCUGGACAAAGACUGACGCUCAGGUGCGAAAGCGUGGGGAGCAAACA